AGCAGGGGAGAGCUCCGGUAAGACAGGGAGGUUGAGGUCAAAGUCACGGUGGCUGACUUGGCUGUGAGUGCUACUGGAUCCGGAUGACGUCACUCCGCUCUUCUCGCCGCCAUCGUAGUGACAACGUUUGUGUCCGCCCAAGGCUUGGCCAGUGGGGAAGGACUUGUGACAGAUGGAACACUCGUGGGUCCUACCAGUGGCGUUCGGUACGCCGGUGGUCGUGGCGGUUGCGUUGGUGUUGGUGGUAGUGGAUGCGGAGUGUUCAUCGCCGCCCCCAGAUCCCUUACGGUGGCUGGCCUUGUGACCACCCAAGGCUUGGUAAGAAGAAAACGCCUUGUCGCACACGCUGCACUUGAAGAGAAGCUUCUGGUCAGAGGACGACGUCGUUGCAGCAGUAGAUAGAGCAGGAGACUUCUGUCGCUGUGAGGCGGCGGUGGUCGUGUUGCAGUUAGUUAAGACGGCGGUGGAGGUUGUGCCACGUGCAAGCAUGACGAGGCAGAGCGCGAGAUACUCUUCUUCAGUUGGAGGAUUGUGUGGACGCUUUGAGCGCUUGCGUUUGGUCCAUGGCUCAAGGCAGUGAAGAUUAGCUUCUUCGAAGUGAAACGGCGGCGUCGAAGUAGUUGGAGAGUUGAGAGCUUCCAGUGCCAUCUCCGUUACUCUUUUGAAUCUAAAACCAAGAGUGAGUGUGAAAGAGCGAGAGAGAGAGAGAGAGAGAGAGCUUAAUUUCAGAUUCAGAAUGUGUGAGGUUUGAGUUGUGAGUUGAGUAAGAGUGUGUGUGGGUUUGCUUAUAAAGGGGCGAAGACGGACGAGAAGGAAGUUGCGUGACAAGUGGUGCGAAUCGAAAGUAAGCGACGGUGUGCAACAAGUUUAAUUAAAUUAAAAAUAUAAAAGAAUAAAGCUUAUAUUUUGUAUUAUACUGUACCAAUAGGCAGAAGGGAGUGGAGCACGUUUGGCUAUUGGAUUGAGGCAUGAGCUUUCUUGGUGACCAAGGGCGGUUCAAGUCGGUCAAACCCCUGCCCAAUAUUUACUACAUGUGGGGCUAUUAAGCUUUUUAGUCAGUCAGUCUUUGAAGACUUCUUCCAAGUCAAAUCACAUACUUUUCGAACCAAACGCGGUGUUAUUGUUAUCUUGUAGCAGCCGGCAGCCAGCCAAGCUCGGG
rnacentral:lncRNA from 1 species